AACGAACGCUGGCGGCAUGCCUAACACAUGCAAGUCGAACGAGACCUUCGGGUCUAGUGGCGAACGGGUGCGUAACGCGUGGGAACCUGCCCUUAGGUUCGGAAUAACUCCCCGAAAGGGGUGCUAAUACCGGAUAAUGUCUUCGGACCAAAGAUUUAUCGCCUUUGGAUGGGCCCGCGUUGGAUUAGCUAGUUGGUAGGGUAAAAGCCUACCAAGGCGACGAUCCAUAGCUGGUCUGAGAGGAUGAUCAGCCACACUGGGACUGAGACACGACCCAGACUCCUACGGGAGGCAGCAGUGGGGAAUAUUGGACAAUGGGCGAAAGCCUGAUCCAGCAAUGCCGCGUGAGUGAUGAAGGCCUUAGGGUUGUAAAGCUCUAUUACCCGGGAUGAUAAUGACAGUACCGGGAGAAGAAGCUCCGGCUAACUCCGUG
rnacentral:rRNA from 1 species